rnacentral:rRNA from 1 species
GACGAACGCUGGCGGCGUGCUUAACACAUGCAAGUCGAACGGAAAGGCCCUGCUUUUGUGGGGUGCUCGAGUGGCGAACGGGUGAGUAACACGUGAGUAACCUGCCCUUGACUUUGGGAUGACUUCAGGAAACUGGGGCUAAUACCGGAUAGGAGCUCCUGCUGCAUGGUGGGGGUUGGAAAGUUUCGGCGGUUGGGGAUGGACUCGCGGCUUAUCAGCUUGUUGGUGGGGUAGUGGCUUACCAAGGCUUUGACGGGUAGCCGGCCUGAGAGGGUGACCGGCCACAUUGGGACUGAGAUACGGCCCAGACUCCUACGGGAGGCAGCAGUGGGGAAUAUUGCACAAUGGGCGGAAGCCUGAUGCAGCAACGCCGCGUGCGGGAUGACGGCCUUCGGGUUGUAAACCGCUUUCGCCUGUGACGAAGCGUGAGUGACGGUAAUGGGUAUAGAAGCACCGGCUAACUACGUG